GACGAACGCUGGCGGCGUGCCUAACACAUGCAAGUCGAACGGAACUUCUUUAAAGGAUUUCUUCGGAAUGAAUUUGAUUAAGUUUAGUGGCGGACGGGUGAGUAACGCGUGAGUAACCUGCCUCUAAGAGGGGAAUAACAUUCUGAAAAGAAUGCUAAUACCGCAUAAGCGCACGGCAUCGCAUGAUGCAGUGUGAAAAACUCCGGUGGUAUAAGAUGGACCCGCGUUGGAUUAGCUAGUUGGUGAGGUAACGGCCCACCAAGGCGACGAUCCAUAGCCGACCUGAGAGGGUGACCGGCCACAUUGGGACUGAGACACGGCCCAAACUCCUACGGGAGGCAGCAGUGGGGAAUAUUGCACAAUGGGCGAAAGCCUGAUGCAGCGACGCCGCGUGAGCGAAGAAGUAUUCGGUAUGUAAAGACUCUAUCAGCAGGAAGA
rnacentral:rRNA from 1 species